UGGCUCAGGACGAACGCUGGCGGCGUGCCUAAUACAUGCAAGUCGAACGCUUCUUUUUCCACCGGAGCUUGCUCCACCGGAAAAAGAGGAGUGGCGAACGGGUGAGUAACACGUGGGUAACCUGCCCAUCAGAAGGGGAUAACACUUGGAAACAGGUGCUAAUACCGUAUAACAAUCGAAACCGCAUGGUUUUGAUUUGAAAGGCGCUUUCGGGUGUCGCUGAUGGAUGGACCCGCGGUGCAUUAGCUAGUUGGUGAGGUAACGGCUCACCAAGGCCACGAUGCAUAGCCGACCUGAGAGGGUGAUCGGCCACAUUGGGACUGAGACACGGCCCAAACUCCUACGGGAGGCAGCAGUAGGGAAUCUUCGGCAAUGGACGAAAGUCUGACCGAGCAACGCCGCGUGAGUGAAGAAGGUUUUCGGAUCGUAAAACUCUGUUGUUAGAGAAGAACAAGGAUGAGAGUAACUGUUCAUCCCUUGACGGUAUCUAACCAGAAAGCCACGGCUAACUACGUGCCAGCAGCCGCGGUAAUACGUAGGUGGCAAGCGUUGUCCGGAUUUAUUGGGCGUAAAGCGAGCGCAGGCGGUUUCUUAAGUCUGAUGUGAAAGCCCCCGGCUCAACCGGGGAGGGUCAUUGGAAACUGGGAGACUUGAGUGCAGAAGAGGAGAGUGGAAUUCCAUGUGUAGCGGUGAAAUGCGUAGAUAUAUGGAGGAACACCAGUGGCGAAGGCGGCUCUCUGGUCUGUAACUGACGCUGAGGCUCGAAAGCGUGGGGAGCAACAGGAUUAGAUACCCUGGUAGUCCACGCCGUAAACGAUGAGUGCUAAGUGUUGGAGGGUUUCCGCCCUUCAGUGCUGCAGCUAACGCAUUAAGCACUCCGCCUGGGGAGUACGACCGCAAGGUUGAAACUCAAAGGAAUUGACGGGGGCCCGCACAAGCGGUGGAGCAUGUGGUUUAAUUCGAAGCAACGCGAAGAACCUUACCAGGUCUUGACAUCCUUUGACCACUCUAGAGAUAGAGCUUCCCCUUCGGGGGCAAAGUGACAGGUGGUGCAUGGUUGUCGUCAGCUCGUGUCGUGAGAUGUUGGGUUAAGUCCCGCAACGAGCGCAACCCUUAUUGUUAGUUGCCAUCAUUCAGUUGGGCACUCUAGCAAGACUGCCGGUGACAAACCGGAGGAAGGUGGGGAUGACGUCAAAUCAUCAUGCCCCUUAUGACCUGGGCUACACACGUGCUACAAUGGGAAGUACAACGAGUCGCGAAGUCGCGAGGCUAAGCUAAUCUCUUAAAGCUUCUCUCAGUUCGGAUUGCAGGCUGCAACUCGCCUGCAUGAAGCCGGAAUCGCUAGUAAUCGCGGAUCAGCACGCCGCGGUGAAUACGUUCCCGGGCCUUGUACACACCGCCCGUCACACCACGAGAGUUUGUAACACCCGAAGUCGGUGAGGUAACCUUUUGGAGCCAGCCGCCUAAGGUGGGAUAGAUGAUUGGGGUGAAGUCGUAACAAGGU
rnacentral:rRNA from 1 species